rnacentral:tRNA from 1 species
CCCUGGUUAGCUCAGUUGGUAGAGCGCUCCACCUGUAAUGGAGAGGUCCCGGGUUCCAUCCCCGGACCAGGCG